UUCAGACGGGCGAAGAAGUGGUGGUGGAACAGAUGAGUUAUUGUAUACAAUGAAUUGAGCUCCCGCGCUUUCACGUCGCCAGGCAAGGACGCGUUACAGUGAUCUCUAAUCUUCAUUUAUCACCGCAAUCGGUGACACCAGAAUUCUGCCUCCUGUCUCACCGCCACUUAGAGAGGUUUCGGCCGCCCAAUAAUGACGGCUAACCAAUCGCCACCACCGCCAUGGCCGCCGCCAGCACCGAUGAUGACCAAAUGGAUACUGCCAUCUCCCUCACCACUGCUACCACGCGAGUGCUUGCCUCCACCCAGAGCAUCCCACAAGACGCCUCGCACCCACCUGAACAACCACCAUCAACCCAGGCUGUCCACGCCUCCGACCUGGGUAAGUACCACAGACCUCCUUGAGGGGGUGCGGCUCAGCACUCGUUGUGACCGUGUUAUAGCACAUUCCCAAGGUGCCACUCCUCCAGGGGCCUCCCUUCCGUCUGGGGUACUGGGAGAUAACCUGCAGAAGGGCUGGCCGGGAUGCAGACACCUACAACUACUCCAAGGUGUGGCCAUUCAACCGCGACACUGACCCAAAUGAGGUAUUACGAGGCCUCGGACCACUCGACGCCACCUGCCACCUGCACCAGACAACACCACUGCAUCCAAUGUGGUGGGCCCCAUGGACCUCGCUCGGACUACAGCCAAGGCCGCCUCGAGACAAGGCCAGAUCACAGUUUCGCGAGUCUCCUGAUACGUCAUCCCUCGAGGAUCGGCUACCGGUCGUCGCCUGUUAGUUUUGAAUGGACAGCGGUGGGGUACGCUUCGCGCGCACUUACAUUCCAUUAUAAAACUACUUGUGACAAGGCCUUCUACUUGUUGUGUACCUUACUGCAAAGGCAAUUACAAAACUGGUCCAAGAGUGAGUGUAUACUGAUUCCCUCAACAGCCUGAUCGUAGGAGGAAAUGGUUACAAGCCAUCAGGAGGAAGCAUUUCACUCCAACUCAUCACAGCAGGGAUCCACAUAAUGGUUAGGAAGUUUGACAAGAACCACACGGAGGAGGAACAUGCCUGAGUCCUUGAGAAGAACCUCUGCUAUACCGCCCACCUCUUAUUGAGUAGUGCAUUGUGGGACUUGUAGAAUGCCAUUACCUUCCCUGGAUACUUCUUCAGUGCCUAUGACACAGCCCACUUGCAGGUGUCCCAGCCUCUGAACCACACCGAACCACUUUCACUUACAGAGCUCAACUUCGCAUACAUAUUCCUGAAGCUUAAGGAUGAGGUUAUGUUAAAUGGGAGUUUUGUAAGCAGUUUCCUUUGCUCCCUAGGAUCAUCUAAAACAAGAAAGAAGUGUUUUCCUUUGUAGUCAGGCAGUACUGCAAGAAGUCUGAAAAUGCUAUUAAAGCUUGUC
rnacentral:misc_RNA from 1 species